rnacentral:rRNA from 1 species
GACGAACGCUGGCGGCGCGCCUAACACAUGCAAGUCGAACGGAGUCAAGAGGAGCUUGCUUUUCUUGACUUAGUGGCGCACGGGUGAGUAACGCGUGAGUAACCUUCCCUGGUGUGGGGGACAACAUUCGGAAACGACUGCUAAUACCGCAUAAGCCCACGGAUCUGAAUGGAUCUGCGGGAAAAGGAUUUAUUCGCUCUAGGAUGGACUCGCGUCCAAUUAGCUAGUUGGUGAGGUAACGGCCCACCAAGGCGACGAUUGGUAGCCGGACUGAGAGGUUGAGCGGCCACAUUGGGACUGAGACACGGCCCAGACUCCUACGGGAGGCAGCAGUGGGGGAUAUUGCACAAGGGGGGAAACCCUGAUGCAGCGACGCCGCGUAGAGGAAGAAGGUUGUCGGAUAGGAAACUCCUGUCGUUAGGGACGAUAAUGACGGUACCUAACAAGAAAGCACCGGCUAACUACGUG